GACGAACGCUGGCGGCGUGCUUAACACAUGCAAGUCGAACGGAAAGGCCCUGCUCUUGUGGGGUGCUCGAUUGGUGAACGGGUGAGUAACACGUGAGUAGCCUGCCCUUGACUUUGUGAUAACUUCAGGAAACUGGGGCUAUUACCGGAUAUAAGCUCCUGCUGCAUGGUGGGGGUUGGAAAGUUUCGGCGGUUGUGGAUGGACUCGCGGCUUCUGCGUUUGUUGGUGGGGUAGGGGAUUCCAAAGGCUUGGAGGGUAGCCGUCCUGAGAGGGUGACCGGCGACAAUGGGACUGAGAUACGGCCCAGAAUCCUACGGGAGGCAGCAGUGGGGAAUAUUGCAGAAUGGGCGGAAGCCUGAUGCAGCAACGCCGCGUGCGGGAUGAUGGCCUUCGGGUUGUAAACCGCUUUCGCCUGUGACGAAGCGGGAGUGACGGUAAUGGGUAAAGAAGCAACGGCUAACUACGUG
rnacentral:rRNA from 1 species